UAGGCCAGUGGCUACAGCUCCAAUUAGACCCCUAGCCUGGGAACCUCCAUAUGCCAAGAGAGCGGCCCAAGAAAUAGCAAAAAAGACAAAAAAAAAAACAAAAAAAAAAAAACAAAAAAAAACCUUUGCUAAAUAAUUUCUAGUGCUUAGCCCAAUUCCUGGUACAUAACUGUGAUUUGAUAAAUAUUUACUAACUGUUGAAUGGAUGGCUUAAUUCAUGUGUUUUUACCAUAAUUGCUCUAUAAGGCAAGGAUCCUAAGAAUAAUGUAAUGUAAUUACAGCGAACAACAUUUGAAACUUUGAUUACUUAAUGUCUUAAAAUAUUCUAUUAUGUUCAACAUAGCUACCCCUUUGUGCUAUACGUUGCUCUAGUUGAUUUUUUCUGUUUUUUAAGUGAUUUUUAUUUUUUUCCAUCAUGGCUGGUUUACAGGAUCCUGUCAAUUUCUACUGUACAGCAAAGUGACCCAGUCACACAUAUAUAUACAUUUUUAAACUUUUUUAGAUAUUACGCCCCCCCACCAAAACAAAGCCAUCUAAAGGAGGCUGAUCUAGUAACUGCAGUGACCAAGCAAAUAGCCUCCUCCACCUAUCCAUUCAGAAACAGUUACAGACAAAAAUUGUUAAUUAAAAGUUUAUCCUUUCAAGUGUCCUAAAUGAAAUAUGUGUAAAAGAUAUUUAACUAAGUUGCUGGCAUAUAUACUUCUGAAAUUAUUAAAAGCUUUACAUUGCACCAACAUGUCGGGGAAACCCUAUGUUGGAACUUGGGAGCAAAUAACAGAAAACCAAGGCUCUUAUCCGUUUUACUGAGCAGCGAUUGUUAUAGCAGAGUUCUCUAAGUGUGUCUCUGGACCCCUUGGAGUUCAUAUUAUGUGUUUUUACCCAGCGGUGGAUAAAACCUCUGGAGCUUUAAUACCAAGGGCAGUGGCAUCAAAGUGCACUAGUAGUCAUUUACUCUUCACCAUUGUAUACUUGCAGUUAAAAAUAAAAAGUGAGGGAGUUCCCUUCGUGGCUCAGCGGUUAACUAAUCUGACUAGGAACCAUGAGGUUGCGGGUUUGAUCCCUGGCCUUGCUCGGUGGGUUAAGAAUCCAGUGUUGCCAUGAGCUGUGGUGUAGGUUGUAGACGAGGCUCAGAUCCUGAGUUGCUGUGACUCUGGUGUAGGCUUGGCAGCUACAGCUCUGAUUGGACCCCUAGCCUGGGAACCUCCAUAUGCUGUGGGUGCGGCCCUA
rnacentral:lncRNA from 1 species